UUUGUCACCAAGGCCACCACAAGAAAAACUCCAGUCGGGAGGCCCCUUCCGCUGAAGGACCACCUGACUUCAGUGGCAGCUGGUGGCACGGGGAGCAGGCCUCCAGGGGCCUUUUGGGUAGCCAGGACGCAGUUGCAGGACAUAGGAGAGGCAAAGGUUUAGGUUCAUCAGGUCUGCAGCGCCUGCAGGAUUUCGUAAAAGAAGGGAGUUUGAGAGCAGCACUGAUUGGCAGCUGCGCCAGCGGGCUGGUCCUGGAGCUCAGUAUAGCAAACAGUGCUUUCAUUAGAAUUGUUUUCAGGGAAGGAACUGUACUCCAGCUAGCCCCUUGGCACCCCUCAGGGCUAGUAUUACUUUGAAGUGGUUAUCUGAAAGCCUGAAUCAGGGUUGAGGAAAACAAUAACAACCUGUAGCAAAGUGUCCUGGCUCACUCCUGAAUAACAGCACCAGGGAAGCUGAGACAAGAGAAUCGCCACGAGUUUGCGGCCCCAACACCUGUCUCAAAACAAAGCAAAAAACAAACAAACAAAAAACUCCAACUUGGAAUGAUCACUUCUAGUAAAACCUUUCAACAACUAUCCAUCUAUUAAAAAACACUAACAUUGCCACGCUCUCCUGUCAGGCUCUGGUUCAGGUUAUGGGGAGUGACAUCGAGCAAACUGGAACCACCAGAACUUACUCUAACGGUCGGUCGCUGUCUUGAGAAUAGAGAAGGAUUGUUCUUGUCACAUCUUUUACAAACCAGAAAACUAAGACACGCCUUCUAAUGUGGACCUAAGACAAGUGGCUCUCCAGGAAUCCUCUGUAUCCUCAGGCUAACUAGCUGAAGUAUCUGAACAGCUAAUAGGUUCUCUGGCUCCCCAGGAUGUAGACAGCCACUGCUCAAUGACCCAGACUACAUCAGAUUAGUGCUGCUCUCAACCUUGGUCCCAGAACCUUCUUUCUACAGUGGACAGCAGUCCAUACACAGACCCAACUGAUCAAAGUGCUGAAAACAAGUGAUUGUUGAGUGCUCAGCCUUAACUGAGACAUUCAUAUUAACCAUUGCCUGCCACGCCAACAAGACUCAAGGUUCCAUGUAAGAGCUGGAGGAUGGUAGAAACGCUAUCUUCUGAACAUGCCACCAUUGCACUCAUGAACUCCCAGCAGCUGUGGUUACCUGAACAAGAUCAAUCCAGUCAACGUUACAGCAUGGAUGGGAGAGAGACUCAGAAGGUUCCACCUCCAACUUAGGAGCUGUUGACAGUUGUCGGAUGCUGGGAGAAGAGUCACUUUUCUUCCAGAGUAUGGCUGCUGGUAGAUUGCCCAUGUCCAGUGGUUAGCCCCAAAGCCACGCACAUGCAGGAAACGACACUAGCCAGAAUCAGUGAGCUCUAAAAAAAGGAAGAUAUAAAGGUGGGAGGGAGCUCCAGUGGGGAAAGUGUGAGGAUUGGAUAUGAUCAAGAUAGACUGUAUACAUGUAAGGUA